AAGACUGUGCUUCACAGGAUCAUUUCUGUAGGCUAGUUUUCACUACAAGAUUUUUUCCAAAAGAGGAACCCCCUUACGGG